rnacentral:rRNA from 1 species
AGAGUUUGAUCCUGGCUCAGGAUGAACGCUGGCGGCGUGCCUAAUACAUGCAAGUCGAGCGAACAGACGAGGAGCUUGCUCCUUUGAUGUUAGCGGCGGACGGGUGAGUAACACGUAGGUAACCUACCUAUAAGACUGGGAUAACUUCGGGAAACCGGAGCUAAUACCGGAUAAUAUUUCGAACCGCAUGGUUCGAUAGUGAAAGAUGGCUUUGCUAUCACUUAUAGAUGGACCUGCGCCGUAUUAGCUAGUUGGUAAGGUAACGGCUUACCAAGGCAACGAUACGUAGCCGACCUGAGAGGGUGAUCGGCCACACUGGAACUGAGACACGGUCCAGACUCCUACGGGAGGCAGCAGUAGGGAAUCUUCCGCAAUGGGCGAAAGCCUGACGGAGCAACGCCGCGUGAGUGAUGAAGGUCUUCGGAUCGUAAAACUCUGUUAUUAGGGAAGAACAAACGUGUAAGUAACUGUGCACGUCUUGACGGUACCUAAUCAGAAAGCCACGGCUAACUACUUGCCAGCAGCCGCGGUAAUACGUAGGUGGCAAGCGUUAUCCGGAAUUAUUGGGCGUAAAGCGCGCGUAGGCGGUUUUUUAAGUCUGAUGUGAAAGCCCACGGCUCAACCGUGGAGGGUCAUUGGAAACUGGAAAACUUGAGUGCAGAAGAGGAAAGUGGAAUUCCACGUGUAGCGGUGAAUGCGCAGAGAUAUGGAGGAACACCAGUGGCGAAGGCGAUUUUCUGGUCUGUAACUGACGCUGAUGUGCGAAAGCGUGGGGAUCAAACAGGAUUAGAUACCUUGCUAGUCCCACGCCGUAAACGAUGAGUGCUAAGUGUUAGGGGGUUUCCGCCCCUUAGUGCUGCAGCUAACGCAUUAAGCACUCCGCCUGGGGGAGUACGACCGCAAGGUUGAAACUUAAGGAAUUGACGGG